GUGAAUGCGCUCGUGUGCCGCGCGGUGGGGAGCGGCGGGUCGCGCUGCCGGCUGUCAGCUAGCUCAGCCGCCGCCGCCCGAUGUCGCGAGGAGGCGCACUGGCCCGGUCCCGGGGGGGCGGCCGCGAGUGAGCCCCUCUGCCUGCCGCCCGCGAGCAUGUCACCUCCAGCCGCCGCGGCAGCCUCCGCCAGCGGUUCCCGCGCCCCCGCCUCCCGCAGCCGCAGCCGCGGCCUCGGGCAUUGGCCCCUGGACCCCCGACCCUGAUCCACGCCCAGACUCAGGCGCCAGAGGACCAUGGCCGGCCAGGGGGACUGCUGCGUCAAGGUGGCCGUCAGGAUCCGGCCCCAGCUGUCGAAGGAGAAGAUUGAGGGCUGUCACAUCUGCACAUCUGUCACCCCUGGGGAGCCCCAGGUCCUGCUGGGGAAGGACAAGGCCUUCACCUAUGACUUUGUCUUUGACCUGGACACCUGGCAAGAACAGAUCUAUUCAACCUGUGUGAGCAAGCUCAUUGAGGGUUGCUUCGAGGGCUACAAUGCCACAGUACUGGCCUACGGGCAGACAGGGGCUGGGAAGACAUACACCAUGGGCACCGGCUUUGACACGGCGACGUUGGAAGAUGAGCAGGGCAUCAUCCCAAGGGCCAUUGCACAUCUCUUUGGGGGCAUCGCUGAGCGCAAGCGACAGGCACAGGAGCAGGGCGUGGCUGGGCCUGAGUUCAAAGUCAGCGCUCAGUUUCUGGAGCUCUACAACGAGGAGAUCCUUGAUCUGUUUGAUAGCACCCGUGACCCUGACGCCCGCCACCGCAGGUCCAACAUCAAGAUCCACGAGGACUCCAACGGCAGCAUCUACACUACUGGCGUCACUUCCCGCCUCAUCAGCUCCCAGGAGGAGCUGAUCCAGUGCCUGAAGCAGGGGGCCCUGUCCCGCACCACAGCCAGCACCCAGAUGAACGUGCAGAGCUCCCGCUCCCACGCCAUCUUCACCAUCCACCUGUGCCAGAUGCGCGUGUGCACCCAGCCCGACCUGGUGACUGAGGCGGUGAUGGGGCUUCCUGAGGGCACAGCUCCUGCGAGUGAGUAUGAGACACUCACCGCUAAGUUUCACUUUGUGGACCUGGCCGGCUCCGAGCGGCUGAAGCGGACGGGGGCCACUGGCGAGCGGGCCAAGGAGGGCAUCUCCAUCAACUGCGGCCUGCUGGCCUUGGGCAAUGUGAUCAGCGCCUUGGGGGACCAGAGCAAGAAGGUGGUACACGUCCCCUACAGGGACUCCAAGCUCACUCGGCUCCUCCAGGACUCGCUGGGGGGCAACAGCCAGACAAUCAUGAUCGCCUGCGUGAGCCCCUCCGACCGGGACUUCAUGGAGACACUCAACACUCUCAAAUAUGCCAAUCGGGCCCGCAACAUUAAGAACAAGGUGGUGGUGAACCAGGACAAGACCAGCCAGCAGAUCAGUGCACUGCGGGCCGAGAUCGCUCGCCUGCAGAUGGAGCUCAUGGAGUACAAGGCGGGCAAGCGGGUGAUUGGGGAGGACGGUACCGAGGGCUACAGUGACCUGUUCCGGGAGAACGCCAUGCUGCAGAAGGAGAACGGGGCCCUGCGACUGCGGGUGAAGGCCAUGCAGGAGGCCAUCGAUGCUAUCAACAACCGCGUCACCCAUCUCAUGAGCCAGGAGGCCAACCUGCUCCUGGCCAAGGCUGGUGACGGCAACGAGGCCAUUGGAGCCCUCAUCCAGAACUACAUCCGGGAGAUUGAGGAGCUCCGGACGAAGCUCCUGGAGAGUGAGGCCAUGAACGAGUCUCUCCGCCGCAGCCUCUCACGGGCCUCGGCUCGGAGCCCCUACUCCCUGGGUGCAUCUCCGGCCACCCCAGGCUUCGGGGGCAGCCCGGCCAGCUCCAUGGAGGAUGCCUCUGAGGUAAUCCGCAGGGCCAAGCAGGACCUGGAGCGGCUGAAGAAGAAGGAGAGCAGACAGCGGAGAAAGAGCCCAGAGAAGGAAGCCUUCAAAAAGCGGGCAAAACUGCACCAGGAAAACAGUGAGGAGACUGAUGAGAAUGAGGCAGAGGAGGAGGAGGAAGAGCGGGACGAAAGUGGCUGUGAGGAGGAGGAAGGGCGCGAGGAUGAAGAUGAGGACUCGGGCAGCGAGGAGAGCCUGGUGGACUCAGACUCGGAUCCCGAGGAGAAGGAGGUGAACUUCCAGGUGGACCUGGCCGACCUUACCUGUGAGAUCGAGAUCAAGCAGAAGCUGAUCGAUGAGCUUGAGAACAGCCAGCGGCGGCUGCAGACACUCAAGCACCAGUACGAGGAGAAGCUGAUUCUGCUGCAGAAUAAGAUCCGGGACACCCAACUGGAGCGUGACCGCGUGCUGCAGAACCUCAGCACCAUGGAGUGCUACACGGAGGAGAAGGCCAACAAGAUCAAGGCGGAUUAUGAGAAGAGGCUGCGGGAGAUGAACCGGGACCUGCAGAAGCUGCAGGCCGCACAGAAGGAGCACGCGCGGCUGCUCAAGAACCAGUCACGCUACGAGAGGGAGCUGAAGAAGCUGCAGGCCGAGGUGGCGGAGAUGAAGAAAGCCAAGGUGGCCCUGAUGAAGCAGAUGCGUGAGGAGCAGCAGCGGCGGCGGCUGGUGGAGACCAAGAGGAACCGGGAGAUCGCUCAGCUCAAGAAGGAGCAGCGGCGACAGGAGUUUCAGAUCCGAGCUCUGGAGUCCCAGAAGCGGCAACAGGAAAUGGUUCUGAGGAGGAAAACCCAGGAGGUUUCUGCACUGAGGCGCCUGGCCAAGCCCAUGUCCGAGCGGGUGGCGGGACGCGCAGGACUGAAGCCACCCAUGCUGGACUCGGGUGCCGAGGUGUCGGCCAGCACCACCUCAUCUGAGGCCGAGUCCGGGGCGCGCUCUGUCUCCAGCAUUGUGCGCCAGUGGAACCGCAAAAUCAACCACUUCUUGGGGGACCACCCCUCGCCCUCUGUCAACGGCACCCGCCCUGCCAGAAAGAAGUUCCAGAAGAAAGGGGCCAGCCAGAGCUUCAGUAAGGCUGCGCGGCUCAAGUGGCAGUCCCUGGAGCGGCGGGUCAUCGACAUUGUCAUGCAGAGGAUGACCAUCGUCAACCUGGAGGCCGACAUGGAGCGGCUCAUCAAGAAAAGGGAGGAGCUGUUCCUCCUCCAGGAGGGGCUGCGGAGGAAGCGGGAGCAGCUGCAGGCCGAGAGCCCUGAGGAGGAGAAGGGGCUGCAGGAGCUGGCUGAGGAGAUCGAGGUGCUGGCGGCCAACAUCGACUACAUCAACGACAGCAUCACCGACUGCCAGGCCACCAUCAUGCAGCUGGAGGAGACCAAGGAGGAGCUGGACUCGACGGACACAUCAGUGGUCAUCAGCUCCUGCUCCCUGGCUGAAGCCCGCCUCCUGCUGGACAACUUCCUCAAGGCAUCCAUCGACAAGGGGCUGCAGGUGGCACAGAAGGAGGCCCAGAUUCGGCUGCUGGAGGGACGGCUGAGGCAGACAGACAUGGCGGGCUCCUCCCAGAACCACCUGCUGCUGGACGCCCUGCGUGAGAAGGCUGAGGCGCACCCUGAGCUUCAGGCCCUCAUCUACAACGUGCAGCAGGAGAAUGGCUACGCCAGUACAGACGAAGAGAUCUCAGAGUUCUCUGAGGGAAGCUUCUCCCAGUCGUGCACCAUGAAAGGCUCCACCAGCCAUGAUGAUUUCAAGUUCAAGGGUGAGCCCAAGCUGUCUGCCCAGAUGAAGGCAGUGUCAGCUGAGUGCCUGGGGCCCCCGCUGGACAUCUCCACCAAGAACAUCACCAAGUCCCUGGCCUCCCUCGUCGAGAUCAAAGAGGACGGAGUGGGCUUCUCCGUCCGAGACCCCUAUUACCGGGACAAGGUCUCCCGCACCAUCAGCCUGCCCACCAGAGGCAGCACCUUUCCCCGGCAGUCUCGAGGCAUGGAGACAUCUCCUCUGACCCGAAGGAAGUCCUAUGACCGAGGGCAGCCCAUUAGAUCCACGGAUGUGGGAUUCACACCCCCCUCAUCGCCUCCCACUCGGCCCCGCAAUGACCGCAACGUCUUCUCUCGUCUCACCAGUAACCAGAGCCAGGGGUCGGCGCUGGACAAGUCUGAUGACAGCGACUCCUCUUUGUCGGAGGUCCUGAGGGGCAUCAUCACCCCUGUUGGAGGAGCCAAGGGUGUGCGGACGGCCCCACUACAGUGCGUCUCACUGGCCGAGGGCCACACCAAGCCCAUCCUCUGCCUGGACGCCACCGACGAACUGCUUUUCACAGGGUCCAAAGACCGCAGCUGUAAGAUGUGGAACUUAGUGACGGGGCAGGAGAUUGCGGCUCUAAAGGGCCACCCCAACAACGUGGUCUCCAUCAAGUACUGCAGCCACUCGGGGCUUGUGUUCUCUGUGUCCACCUCCUACAUCAAGGUGUGGGACAUCCGGGACUCUGCCAAGUGCAUCAGGACCCUCACGUCUUCGGGCCAGGUGAUCUCAGGCGAUGCCUGUGCGGCUGCAUCCACCCGUGCCAUCACCAGUGCCCAGGGAGAACACCAGAUCAACCAGAUCGCCCUCAGCCCCUCGGGCACCAUGCUGUACGCCGCCUCGGGCAACGCUGUCCGCAUCUGGGAGCUCAGCAGGUUCCAGCCCGUCGGCAAGCUGACUGGCCACAUUGGCCCCGUGAUGUGCCUCACGGUCACCCAGACCUCCAGCCAACACGACCUCGUGGUGACCGGCUCCAAGGACCACUAUGUUAAGAUGUUUGAGCUGGGCGAGAGUGUGACGGGCACCGUUGGCCCCACUCACAACUUUGAGCCCCCCCACUAUGAUGGCAUCGAGUGUCUUGCCAUCCAGGGAGACAUCCUGUUCAGUGGCUCCCGAGAUAACGGCAUCAAGAAGUGGGACCUGGAGCAGCAGGAGCUCAUCCAGCAAAUCCCCAAUGCACACAAGGACUGGGUGUGCGCCCUGGCCUUUGUCCCCGGCCGCCCCAUGCUGCUGAGCGCCUGCCGGGCAGGCGUCAUCAAAGUCUGGAAUGUGGACAACUUCACACCCAUCGGUGAGAUCAAGGGCCACGACAGCCCCAUCAACGCCAUCUGCACCAAUACCAAGCACAUCUUCACAGCCUCCAGUGACUGCCGGGUAAAGUUGUGGAAUUACGUCCCUGGACUCACCCCCUGCCUUCCACGCCGAGUCCUGGCCAUAAAGGGCCGCGCCACUACCCUGCCCUGACCCCCACCCCCGCCCCCUUCUCCUCUCUCAUUCUCCCCCUUUCCUUUUCCCUGUCUUUCUCCACUUCGAUCUGAACUGCUUCUUAACGCGACCUGACGGUGAAGUUCUGGAGUGCACGGCGGUUACCUGGUGGCCCACCCUAGGGGUGAGGUCAAAGGGAUGCCCCCCGGACCCUCGGCCCCCGGCAGCCUGGAUGACACGGAAGGGAAGCUGUGGUCCAGGCCAGACAGGGCCAGCUGCCCUGGGCACAGAGGGUGUGGGCAAGGGAGGUGGCCCCUCUCCCACUCUCCCUCCUUCCCACGGAUGCCGUUCCCUCGUUCCCUCCCCUGCCUCUUGGGUGGCAUCUUGGCGAGAGAGGUUGGGAAGGAAAUUAAGCUGUGAAGCCAAAGGGCAUUUUCCCCUCUCAUUUCUCCCCAAAAGUCCUGUGGCCUCUCUCCCCGACUGGCCGCCUUUUCUCCUGCUGAGCCGGCCCUGCCUGCCUUGGCCUCUCUGGUGAGCCGGCCACCCUCCCCCCAUCUCCCAGCCCCACCUCUGGAGCCACCACCUCUGCCUCUGAGCCCAAAACAGAUAGUCCUCAGGUAACCAUGGAAACCAGAUGCAGGCAGCUGGGCCCUAAAUCUGUGGCCACCAAUAGCCAGUCCGGUUGGCCCCAGCAAUUCCCUGAGGCCCCAAGCUCACUCUUCCGACAGGGCCGAGGUACAGCUGCAGGAAAGAUUCCUUUGGGGAGAUGGUCAGAAAUAAUUCAGUUAUUUAAUUUAUUAUUUUUAUUAUUUUUAUUUUAUUUUUGCUCUUGCCUCCUGGAAACGGACUUGAAGUUUCUUCCCACGUGUUCUUUCCCUCUGCCCCUGGGGACUAAGAAAUCCCAAAGGACAUCCCCUCCCCGGGCCCUCCAGCGCCGCCUCUGUUUGCUUUGCAGAGGAGGGAAAUGCCCCCAUUGACUCUUUGCAGCUCUGGCCUGUCCCUGAUGUUGCCCCCCAGCCCCACCCCGGGGACCCUUCUAGCGCAUCCCCGGCCUCUAGACUGCCUGAUGCUUCCAUGCCGUCCUCCGUUCCGGGGCCUGGCACCCACGCCGGGCAGCCUUACACCAGCCAUGCCCACGGCGCCACAUGUGUCUUCUCGCUCUCGGGGUCUCGUGUCUGCCAGCCUCUCUACCCCCCAAGGCAGGGGCCAGGGAGCGUCCCUGCCCAGAGCCCCCGUGUACAUCGCAUAGGAAGCAGCUUGUUGGACUGUGACGACUAGAAGAGGCCCCAUACCACCACCACCACCACCACCACCACCCCCAGUGCACCCACAUCGUUCACCACCCACUCCCCAAUUGGGACAGGGAGUUUUUAACCAGACAUAGCUUCACCAGCUUCUUUCUCUCUGGUUAUUCAGGAGACACAUUCUCAAGCCUUAAAACUGGCCUGGGGCCAGGGGCCCUCCCUUUAGCAAAUUAGUGGUGAAGAGAGAAUUGAGUUUCUCCUUUCCCUGGGGCUGACUUACAGAGAGGGUGUUAAAUCUGUGUUCAUGCGCCCCCUGUUGGGGGAACUCUGCAUUUACCGGAACGGAGCUUGGGAGGGCAGGUUUUGCCCCUCAGCCUGUCCACAUUUUGCUUUUCCGUUGCUUAACUGGUCUUAUGCUUCCUGACCUCAGCCUGGGAGCCAGGAGCCCCAGCUCCGUUAAGAGGACGGGGUGAGUUUUAGACCUUGUGAAGAUGGAUCUGUAUUUCUGUCUUGGUCCUUGGCUCCCCUCCCUCUUUGGCCAGGACGGUUUAAGUCUGCUCUGUGUGGCCUUCAUGUGGGAGGGGUCAGGCCCCGGUGCAUCAGAGGAAGCCGUCUGAGCUGCGAAAAAGAGAAAACCUGCUGAGGACUGAGGAAGGCUUGUCCUCCUGCCCUCCUGCCCCAUACUCUCCGAGGUCCUGCCCUGGAGGCUGAGAAGGCUGUCCUGCUGGCCAGGGGUCCUGCUGGAUGUGCUGUUGAAGUCUGGGAGUUGCUUUGCAGCAAGUGCUGGUGUCCUGAAGCUGGGACAAGGCUGCCUUUGGUGACUGGAAAUCCCUCUGCCUCCAGCCAGCCCUGGGUGCUGGGAAACUCCCUUUGCCUCUCAGAAGUGACUACGUCUCUCCCCUUUCACUUCCCUCCCCACCUGGACAGAAAGCUUCGCCCUUACUACCUGUAGGAAAGAAUCCGUCAACAUGACUGCUGACAAAUUGUAGAAGCACGUGAGGCUUUGCUCUCCCUCCCCAGCCUGGGGGGACUGAACUGCAACUGCACGAGAUGUGAUCCUGUGGUCUCCAAGAGGUGCUCACUGUCAUUGCCCAUUUCUGCUGUUUCUGAUGGGUCAGUGACCUCAUGGCAAAGCUGGCUCUACUGUCCUGGCAAGUGUCAUUGACGUGGAAACUUGAAGUCCUUCAGAAGUGCUGAGCCUGCCAUCACUGAGCCGCUCUGAGCUGUACUCUGAGAGUGUUGCACUCUACCCAUUCCUUCGGGGGGUCCCAGGUACAUGAUUAGGUGCAGACCCCAGCUCCACACCUUGCACAAGCAUCAUGAGUGUUGGAAGCACAAAAUGGUUAUGAGUGAGCACAAUGGUGGGGUUUGCAGCAGGAGGCCUGGGCAGACCUGGCCCUGGAGGCCCCUCCCAGGUUGACUCUGUCCAAAAUUAGACUGGGGACACCCGUGCCUGGGGUGUGGUGGGGGGCUACUCUCUCUUGGAUCAGCUGGAGGGCUUGGCCUGUGGCUUUUCCUAAUACUGGGACUUGUCAUCUGCUGCUUACCCCCCUGUACCCAUCCUAAGACUUGAGGCUGGUCCCUGCAGGCUGAGCCACUUCUGUAUUCUGUGGGCCCAGGAGUGGAGACGUCUAGACCCCAUACCCCAAAUCUUUAAAUGACAAGAGCCUAGGCUGGGCCCCAGGCCUUAAACAGUUUUUUAAUUUUUUUAAUUGCUCCUAGAGCUUGGACCCAGGGUCCCUGUCUCCUGGGCUGAGCCCUCUGUGAAUGCUCUUUAAGCUAACCGGCAAGCUCCUGAGAUGGAACACGUCUUCCAUCCCCGCUGCCCUCAGGCUCCCUCAGCACAGACCUGUGCCACGGGCCAGUUCUCAGAAUUACCCGAUCAGUGUUGGCUUUUAUUUGCAUGACUGACUCCUCCAUGGCAGCCUGAAUUCUCCACAGUAGCACCUGGAGUUGCCUUUGGAGAUUUCCAAGGAAGGAGGGAAGGCCGUGAGGCAGAGGCUGGCACACCCAAGCCUCUGAGGGUCAGGAUGCCAUCCUCAGCCCUUUGGGAGGGGACAGCUGUGGAUCUGGGAGCGGUGCCCCCACCUCCCCACCCUGACCCCAGCUUGGGCCUAGGAAACCCUCCUCCCUCAGAUGUCCCGCCUGCGGCCUGGUAGCUUGGGCAGAGGGCAGUUUAAAGCACAAAACCACUGUGGGGAAGACACCGAGUGGCUAGGACGUUCUCAUGCCGCCUGCCGUGGUAGAGCCCCAGGCAGGCGGCUGCUGGGAAGCCAGGGAAUGUAAAGUCUCUUUGUCCUGUUCUUUCCCAUCCACAGAGCCCGCCCCAGCUCUUGGGACAUCCCCUGAUGAAGUCUGGGCUAGGUGCGGCACAGUCUUCUUGGUUGUUCAGACCCUGCCAGUGCCCCAUGUGUUUGCUAUUGUGUUGUGGGCACGGCCUGCCCUGCAGGAGCAGUGCUGCCUUCCCACUGCGUGGCCUGAACCUGUGGUGUCUGCCCUUUGCCAUCCCAGACAGGAAGCUGCUUGCUGCUCUCUUCCUGUGGCACAGGCGCCUGGUGCAGGCUCAGGAGCCAGGGCUUGGCCAGUGUCCCCCACAGGCCUUCCUGGGCCUGGCCCUCCUCUCCUGGCUCCCAGAUCUUUCGAUGCCCUUUCACGUGCAAGGACAGACUGCAGGGAAAGUUCUGUUUCUUCCCUGACAUCUUUGUUCUGUCCCCGCCCCCCAUCCUCAGCAUUCAGAUGAGCCCUCAACCCACUCCACGCUCUAGUUCUUUGAACCCGUGUCCUGAGGAUUUUGCAGGAGUGUGAAGGUGGGGACUACUGCAUGAAGGACAGAGGGUCAAAGAAGACCCCUGACGUGAAUUGGGCCCCGCCCUGCCCACCAGCUCUUUUCUAGCUAUCCCUGCCCACCCCCUGCCCAGGCUGCAGGGUUUUAAUGGGCUCCUGCGCUCCUCCACAAUGUGACUAGCACAAGGUGUAUAUAUGUUUUGUACCUUUGCUGAUGACUGUACAUAGUGUAUGAAAGUUAUUUAAGCCUCAUGCUGUAUAUUUCUGUUCCUAGAUCGGAUGUGUGUGUUCUAAGAAGUUGUCAUAAAUAAAACCCGAAUGGCCCUUGUA